ensembl:scaRNA
UGGACAUUUAUUUUUAUUCAGUUUUUUCUCAAGGUGAAGGUAACUGUUUGUAAAUGUCCUAGAGAAAUAUUGUAGCUUUCUGUUCACCCUUUGCAACUAAAAAAGCGCGGAUUGUUCCACUACUGAGAUUU